UCGGUAGCUCAGCUGGUAGCAGCGUUGCACUGUCAAUGCGCGAGGUCGCUGGGGCGGAUCCAGCCGGCCGGUCCA
rnacentral:tRNA from 1 species